rnacentral:sRNA from 1 species
AAGGUGAACGGGCUUUGCCAUCAAUACCAAAGUUGGCCAACAGCGAAAAGCAAGGCAUGCGGACACACGCCGUCUCUGUGUCAGAAACAGAUGAUUAUGCUGAGAUUAUAGAUGAAGAAGAUACUUACACCAUGCCCUCAACCAGGGAUUAUGAGAUUCAAAGAGAAAGAAUAGAACUUGGACGAUGUAUUGGAGAAGGCCAAUUUGGAGAUGUACAUCAAGGCGUUUAUAUGAGUCCAGAGAAUCCAGCUUUGGCGGUUGCAAUUAAAACAUGUAAAAACUGUACUUCGGACAGCGUGAGAGAGAAAUUUCUUCAAGAAGCCUUAACAAUGCGUCAGUUUGACCAUCCUCAUAUUGUGAAGCUGAUUGGAGUCAUCACAGAGAAUCCUGUCUGGAUAAUCAUGGAGCUGUGCACACUUGGAGAGCUGAGGUCAUUUUUGCAAGUAAGGAAAUACAGUUUGGAUCUAGCAUCUUUGAUCCUGUAUGCCUAUCAGCU